ACAAGAUUGAGGGGUGAGGAUUCUGAUCGACUUGCAUUAUCUAGAUAUUUUUAAGCACAUUUGUACAACAUUUCAUAGCAUUUAGAUAGGUAAUUUCAGGCAUAAUCAUCAAAUUCAUUUACUUCUGUAAAUUUUAUUACUCUGUACUGAAUUCUAUGUUAUUUUCGGGUGUUUUGAGGGAGUUCCAAAAUAUAGGAGUAAAGAAGUAAGCUUGGAAAAACUCAAGAAGAAGAGCAUUGUUGCUGAUACACUUUACACGGGAUUUGUAAUCAAAGCCACAGACCCGUGUAACUUACUGCCAAGAGAAAGCCAAAGAACCAAGGAAGAAACAAAGUACAU
rnacentral:misc_RNA from 1 species